GGUGGGGGUGGCUGGACCUUGGGCUCUCUAAGAUCCAGUGGAAUAGGAGUUCAAUGGUGAUUCGAAGAGACGACACAGGUUAGAGGUGAGGAAACUGGAAAGGUGGAUCCUGCCCAGUUGAAUGAAUAAAUGGUUUCUAAGUCCUCGUCCCGGCCAAUCUCGGAGACAGGCUCUCUGAAAAAGUCCUCUGACCUCGGCAGUGCUGUGGACCCGGAUGCUUAGGGGUGAGCAAGUAUCAGAACACUGGAGACUGUUAUGGCUCCUGGCUGAUGUCAUUGAAAUGGACCAGUACUGGAUGGGGUUUGCCAAAUAAAAGAGUCACCAAUGUCUGAAUGUCUCCAGGGCCAGACUGCUUGGAGCUGGGCCCCCUCUCUCUCCAACUAGACAGCGGGUUCCCCACUCAAGCACCUACAGUCGUCAGAUCUUCGCAUUUUCCUCCAGAAGCUGGAAGUGCACUUUUUAAGUGAAACCGUCUAGUUGUAUUUUAGGUAUUAGCAGCUUGCUCUAAAAUGUUUUCUAUACUAGAAGGCCAAAGGGGCUGCGUACACAGGGUUAGGUUUGGCCCCUCUUGGUUACUUUCCCACCCGCCGGGAAGCGCUUUUUGCUUCCCUGCGUGAGUACUCCCUGACCGCCUGCCAGGUUUGUACCGGGCGCUGGGGGCGGUUACGGUGCUGAUUGGCCCCUCGGGGUAGAAACAGAAGCUCCCCUUCUCCCGGACACUGGUCAAGGACCAUCCCAGGACGCGAACCUCUGCAACGUUUCAGUUUUGGACCAAGACACAAAGGCUACUCCCUCGCGUUUUCCUCCAGACCAACGAAGCUGAAGCUCCGGGGGACGGGGGGGCCGGACAGGACAAGACAGGACGGGACAGGACAGUACAGGGCGGGAGUCCCUUCGUGCAGCACUCACCAGCCAUGGCUUCCGCAGAGCGCCGCCGAGCUGCAGCCUCCUGAACGCUGAUUGGCUGAGCUGCUGGUUGCCGGGCGACCAGACUAAGGCCGGAAAGUAGCCGAGCUGCUCUGGCUGCAAUUGGAAGGUGUCCCGCGCGCGGGGAGCAGAGCUCAGAGCUUUAUACCCGCCGGGCCCAGCCCACUGCAGCCGGGAGUGCCAGCGAGAGAGGGAGGGGCGAGGCGUGCGCACCCUGGGAACUGCCAGAGCGCCCCGGAAAGAGUCGUAGGGCACUCAGUAGACACCCCUGGGUGUCAAAGUCCAGAAGGGUCCUUUGGGGGCUAAAGAGUGAGCGCGGCCUUAAAGAUCUGAAUGGGGGUGGGUGGCAACCCUGUCCGCCCUGUUAAGGCCCUUGGGACACUGAGAGUACUUUGCAACUGGUGGCAAGUUUGUUGGCACGCCUGGCCUCUCCCAACUCUGGAAAAUCGCCAUAGACUGGAGCGGGGCGGGUUGUGGCUGACCAAGGGUGGGAUUGUGCUGAGUCACUGUGAGUCCGGCAGGAGACCUGCUCCGUGGAAGCGGAUUAUUUUCUCCUGCGAGGUUCAGCUGCAGCACUUGGGGGGCCACAGCGGGCUCUUGCCCGUGUGAAUGCCUCGGGUCACCCUAGCUCCUUAGGGACAGCCAGUAGGGAACUCAUCCGUUUGCUCCUGCGAGCUAGUGCUCGGUAGGGCAAGGCUGGUCGGGAGAGGGUAGCCAGGGGAGCUUAAUGGUUUUCCCUUUAAACUUGAAAGGUAUAAACAGAACAGCAAAAAGUUCAAAUCUGUAUAAGUAAAGGUUACAGUAAAAUUAUCCGAUGAAACAGAAGAGAUAUUAUCAAAAGGCCAAUAAUUUUUUUGGUAUUUUUUUGAGGCCAAGAGUUUUUAAAUGAUAAGUAACCAAAAGAAUAAAAAGGAGGGGCUGGGGAUUUAGCUCAGCGGCAUAAGCACCUGCCUUGUAAGCAGGCGGUCGUGAGUUCGAUCCCUGGUACCGAUAAAAAAUUAAAAAAAAAAGAAUAAAAAGAAUAAAAAGGAAAAAGGUGGGGGAAGUGAACGGAGCAUUUUAC